GACGUAGGGCGCGAGCGUUGUCCGGAUUUAUUGGGCGUAAAGAGCUCGUAGGCGGCUUGUCGCGUCGUCCGUGAAAACUUGGGGCUCAACCCCAAGCUUGCGGUCGAUACGGGCAGGCUAGAGUUCGGUAGGGGAGACUGGAAUUCCUGGUGUAGCGGUGAAAUGCGCAGAUAUCAGGAGGAACACCGGUGGCGAAGGCGGCUUCCUGGACCGACACUGACGCUGAGGCGCGAAAGCUAGGGGAGCAAACGGG
rnacentral:rRNA from 1 species